GACGAACGCUGGCGGCGUGCUUAACACAUGCAAGUCGAACGGAAAGGCCCUGCUUUUGUGGGGUGCUCGAGUGGCGAACGGGUGAGUAACACGUGAGUAACCUGCCCUUGACUUUGGGAUAACUUCAGGAAACUGGGGCUAAUACCGGAUAGGAGCUCCUGCUGCAUGGUGGGGGUUGGAAAGUUUCGGCGGUUGGGGAUGGACUCGCGGCUUAUCAGCUUGUUGGUGGGGUAGUGGCUUACCAAGGCUUUGACGGGUGGCCGGCCUGAGAGGGGGACCGGCCACAUUGGGACUGAGAUACGGCCCAGACUCCUACGGGAGGCAGCAGUGGGGAAUAUUGCACAAUGGGCGGAAGCCUGAUGCAGCAACGCCGCGUGCGGGAUGACGGCCUUCGGGUUGUAAACCGCUUUCGCCUGUGACGAAGCGUGAGUGACGGUAAUGGGUAAAGAAGCACCGGCUAACUACGUG
rnacentral:rRNA from 1 species